AUUGAACGCUGGCGGCAGGCCUAACACAUGCAAGUCGAACGAGGCGCGGACGGGUGAGUAAUGUCUGGGAAACUGCGCGAUGGAGGGGGAAACCUUGUGGAAACGGGAGCUAAUACCGCAUACCAUCGGAUGUGCCCAGAUGGGAGUAUCUAGGAGGUGGGGUAACGGCUCACCUAGGCGACGCCCCCUAGCUGGUCUGAGAGGAUGACCAGCCACACUGGAACUGAGACACGGUCCAGACUCCUACGGGAGGCAGCAGUGGGGAAUAUUGCACAAUGGGCGCAAGCCUGAUGCAGCCAUGCCGCGUGUAUGAAGAAGGCCUUCGGGUUGUAAAGUACUUUCAGCGAGGAGGCGUUACUCGCAGAAGAAGCACCGGCUAACUCCGUGCCAGCCGCCGCGGUAAUUC
rnacentral:rRNA from 1 species